CGAUUAAAAAAAUUAGCAAAAUUUUUUUUGGUGGGGACGUUCAGGUCGUUUAAGUUCGGUCAGUUGAUACGCAGUACCACCCGGUAAACAACAUUGACCAAGUGUUGUACACAACGGUGAUUACUGAGAACUGUGCAGAGGUCGGACGCCUGUGUUUAUUAUAUGACCGACGGUACACAGAUCUGAUGUUAUGAAUUUUUCGACCCUGAAAAAGGCUGGGUGAUCCGCGUGCCAUGACGGGGGGUGUCGCAUCCCACGAGUCACAACGACGAGCGGUGUAAGCCAUACGGCUAUAUGUACGUCAACUGACCAACGCGUCCCCAAAAACAACCGUCGUUCGCGCUGUAUAUAUACCUG